CCUACGGGUGGCAGCAGUGAGGAAUAUUGCACAAUGGGGGCAACCCUGAUCCAGCCACGCCGCGUGAGUGAAGACUUCCUUCCUUAUUUUAAACUCUAUCAGCAGAGGAGUAAAGUACGGUACCUGAGUCUUAAUCCCCGUCUAAAUACGUGCCAGCAGCCGCGGUAAUACGUAGGGAGCAAGCGUUAUCCGGAUUUACUGGGUGUAAAGGGAGCGUAGACGGUAGUGCAAGUCUGUAGUGAAAGUGGUGGGUGCAACCGUAGAAUUGCUAUGGAAACUGGAAGGCUGGAGUUCAGGAGAGGUAAGUGGAAUUCGUAGUGUAGCGGUGAAAUGCGUAGAUAUCAGGAGGAACACCAGUGGCGAAGGCAGCUUACUGAACUGUAACUGACAUUGAGGCUCGAAAGCGUGGGGAGCAAACAGGAUUAGAUACCCGAGUAGUC
rnacentral:rRNA from 1 species